GAUGAACGCUGGCGGCGCGCCUAAUACAUGCAAGUCGAGCGAAUGGAUUAAGAGCUUGCUCUUAUGAAGUUAGCGGCGGACGGGUGAGUAACACGUGGGUAACCUGCCCAUAAGACUGGGAUAACUCCGGGAAACCGGGGCUAAUACCGGAUAACAUUUUGAACCGCAUGGUUCGAAAUUGAAAGGCGGCUUCGGCUGUCACUUAUGGAUGGACCCGCGUCGCAUUAGCUAGUUGGUGAGGUAGCGGCUCACCAAGGCAACGAUGCGUAGCCGACCUGAGAGGGUGAUCGGCCACACUGGGACUGAGACACGGUCCAGACUCCUACGGGAGGCAGCAGUAGGGAAUCUUCCGCAAUGGACGAAAGUCUGACGGAGCAACGCCGCGUGAGUGAUGAAGGCUUUCGGGUCGUAAAACUCUGUUGUUAGGGAAGAACAAGUGCUAGUUGAAUAAGCUGGCACCUUGACGGUACCUAACCAGAAAGCCACGGCUAACUACGUGCCAGCCGCCGCGGUAA
rnacentral:rRNA from 1 species